rnacentral:rRNA from 1 species
UGCCAGCCGCCGCGGUAAUACGGAGGGUGCAAGCGUUAAUCGGAAUUACUGGGCGUAAAGAGUACGUAGGCGGCUUUUCAAGUCAGGUGUGAAAUCCCUGAGCUUAACUCAGGAACUGCAUUCGAUACUGGAUCGCUAGAGUAUAUUAGAGGAUAGUGGAAUUUCAAGUGUAGCGGUGAAAUGCGUAGAUACUUGAAGGAACACCAAUGGCGAAGGCAGCUAUCUGGAAUAAUACUGACACUCAGAGGCGAAAGCUAGGGUAGCAAAAGGGAUUAGAUA